CUCACCUCGAUUGAUUUGAACAGGAAUAACGUGCUGGGUCGCUCCCCCAGCCCCACCCCUAUUCACCGUGUGAGGCAUGCUGGCUAUUACAUUUCCUCUCAGUUCAGAUCUUUCCAGAAGGAUUGGGUCAGUCAUCAUCAUUGAGACAGACUUGUUUGUGGAGAGUCUCCUACCGCUGGUUACAGAAGGUCUGAUUUCUUCCUCUGUGUUGCAACAUGGAAAGAAACAAACUUUCCUUUGGGUGAUUUUUGUUUGUUUGCAUCUUUAUUUUUGAGACAGUGUUUCUCUGUAUAUCCUUGACUGUCCUAGAAUUUACUCUGACCACCAGGUUGGCCUUGAACUUGGGGAUCUGCCUGCAUCUGCCUCCCCUGUGCUGGGAUUAAAAAAAAAACGUGUGUCAGGCCUACAACCUGAGUCUUUUAGAGAUCUGUUGGUUGGUGGUCUCAGAGGAUUUGGGCCCUGGCUGGCUGUGGGCCUGACGUAAGACUGAGCAUCCUGGAGAGGACCAUGGUGAAGCAGGCGGCCUCAGCAGGGCGGCCUGCGGAAAGGCCCUCCUGCAUUCCGUGCUGCCUGACGAGGAGGUAGGUGGCCUGCGUUCCUUCUUCCUUUUCUGUGAGCAAUGUGGUUCCCCCCACACCGCUCUGCCUGAUUUUACUGUUUUUCUUUUCAUCGUUAGGUUUCAGAAAUGUUAUAUAGUAUUCUUGUGUGGUUUUCUUUGUGUUUAUAAAACUUUAGAUUUUUUUUUUUUGAUAAUUGAGAUUUCAACUUCUAUCGUAUUUGAAUAUUUCGGAUUUUAGUUUUUCAGUGAGUUUUUUCACCCUCACUCGUUAGAUGAUGAAAUUACUGUGACGGUUACUGUGUCCGAGGCUUCAGUCUGAAUAAAUUUAGAAAAGUUGGUUGGGUUUUCGUUGUGUGUACACAUUCACAGACAUUUUCUUCUGUGAUAUUCAUGCAAAAAGUGCUGUAAGCCCAUCUGGUGACUAUUUCACUUUAGAUAUUAUAUUCUUUAGUUAGUUCUAGGGAGGAAAUGUAGUACCUUGAGCCUUCUGAAGGCUGAGGCACUAACAUGAGUUCAAGGCCAGUCUUGGGUACAGAGGGACAAGAGGCUAUGGGGGGGAGGUAAUUACAUUUCUCUUCUCACUAUGUUCCUGUUUUUUCCUUAAGUCUCUGAACAUUUUUUUUCUUCUUUUUUCUUUUUUUCAGAGCUGGGGACCGAACCCAGGGCCUUGAGCUUGCUAGGCAAGCGCUCUAUCACUGAGCUAAAUCCCCAACCCUGUCUCUGAACAUUUUUAUAAGAUGCUUUCAUGGGGCUGGAGAGAGAACUCACUGGUUAGAGCAAUCACUGUUUUUCUAGAGGGUGAGCAGUCAGUCUCCAGCACACACAGUAGGCAGUUUGCAACCGCUCCACCUCCAAAGAAUCUGACGCUAUUUUCUGGCUUCUGUAGUUACUUGCACUCAUGUGCGCGUGCGCACACACACACACACACACACACACACACACACACACGGACACACUAAAAAUAGGGUAAAAUAUUUAUUUUAGUUUCUGUGUGUGUGCUUUGCUUGCACACGCACAUGUGAGUAAACCACAUGCUUGCAGUAGAGGACAGGGGAGGGUGCAGAAUCCUUUGGAACUGGAAUUAUAGACCCUUGUGAGCCAUCAUGUAGGUGCCGGGAACCAAACCUGAAUCCUUUGCAAGAGUGGCAUGUGUUCCUGACCACUGAGGCGUCGCUCCAGCCAUAAAGGAAGAUCUUCAUUUAAAACAAUUCUUGUAUGCCAGUUCGAGGUGUGUGUAAGUCUAUCUCUCACCACUGACAGCCUCCUGGUGCAGGAUCUGCACUGGUGUUCUGUAGCACGCCUAACGGCUUUCGCCUGGGUACAGCUGGGCAUUGUGGAUGUUGCUGUUGGCACUGGUGAGUAUCUGAGUCCUUUUUUGAAGCGAGGAAUCACAUGGUUGUGUUCUUUGUAGAGAGGUUAAUAACUUCCAAUCUUUGUUUUCCUUCUUUAUUAAGACAGAUCCAGAGUGCUGGUUCUAAAUCAGGGGCAAUGCACAUCCAUCUCCACGGAAGGAACACUGGCAGUGUCUGUAGAAAUUCCGGGUUGUGGCAACUAGGAGGUUGCUUCUGCCACCUACUGAGUGGAAGCCAGGAAUGAUGUUAACUCUCCUUAUACCUGACACACUCCCCCGUUUGCUCUGAAGUUAUCUGUAUUUUGAUGCUAAUUCCACUCCUCCAAGGACAGCUGCCUCAUCACUACUCAGAACUCAGCAUCUUCCACCAGAUGGAAACGCAAGAAGACAGUGUGUGCCCUGGAAGAGGGCUCUCACCAGAACCCACCCAUGCUGGCUCUCACCGGAACCAACCCAUGCUGGCACCCGACCUCAUAGGCGCAGCCUCUACAAUAUGUUCCAAGCCUCUAUGAGCCAUCAGGACUCACACUGGAGGAUAGCAUCCCAAGCCAUGAUGUCUUAUGACGAAGACUUCUGCUCACUGCACCGCAGAGCCCAUAUCCCUCCUCUCACCACUCUAGCCAAUUAGAACUGGAACGUCUCCCCCAUCCAUGUGAAGUCUGGAAGCUGCUUGGUCUCCAGCCUGCCGGUUGCUGUUCUGGGUCCUUGCCUGUUUGUACAAGUAUCAAGGCAACCCGGUGGGUACUGCAGUCAGAUCUGCAGGGCCCCCUCCUCUCCACGAAUUCCCGCUGCCUCCCAGUUUUAAAUGAUGAGCCCCCCUCCCAGGUCUGUCAGCGUCCUGUGCUUGUUCUGCAAAGCAUCUCUAGGUAGAACCUCAGCUAAACAUGGGGCUCCCAAAGCCUUGUCCCAGACCUAUGGACCUACUGACCUACAGACCUACUGACCUACUGACCUACAGACCUACUGACCUAUGGACCUACUAACCUACAGACCUACAGCCCAAAUGACAACCUGCCUUGGUUCCUGACCCUCUCAAAAGAUGCCCGCAUAGUACACAGCCUUGAAAGGCGAAGAUCAUGUCUCCCUGUGGGAUACAGGGAAGCUCUGCCUCCCGCCCAGCACUGUAAAGACUAUGUCUCCUUCUGGGAUAAAGGCCAAAAAUGCCGAGAAGGAACAUUGCUGAUUCCCUGUGCUCUGGAGCCCCUUUUCUGUAACACAGCUCACGACAAACACCUGGGCCUCUGCACACCACCUGGCAGAAACUCGGUAUUAAAGAACCAGAGUCGCUGCUCACACACUAGUCAGCACAACUUCUGUGAAUAAUAAAGUCUGUCUCUGGCCUCAGA